CAAUCGCCAAUAGCCAUUAUUUAUUUCAACGGAAUACCCCAGCGAAGCAUCUUACCAUGAAGUCAGAACAGAAGCGUCGCCUGUUUGUUUGGAAUGAUGCUUUUCUUAGUUUUUGAAAUUGAUUCGCUUAUCUAAGGACAUUUUUUUUCUCGUGAAGAAGGUAUUCUGUGGAUUCCAACACAUUGCACAAUUUGUGACUUAAACAUUAUUUAAGGAUAAAAGUUUACUUUAUGCAAAUGGAAGAACAGUUGUUAAGAGAAGAAACCGGUACCAUCACCGCGUCCAUAUUCAUACGAGGAGCAAGAAAGAAUAUAAAAACCAAAUGCAAUAUCCUUGUUGAAUACACAUGUUGGUUACCUGGCUAGGAAGACGCAGGAAUGCUAUAUGUUAAUGCAUUUCUUUUAUUAUUCAUUGUAUGUUCACAUCAAGCUAAUAAUCCAAAUUAAAGAAGAAAAAAAUCUAAAAUGUUAUGAUUUUUUACUUCAGCUUGCUUUUUGAACUAGGCUACCGCUCAUGGAAAUGAGCCCCAGGCGCACCGCACCUUGCAGAUAACGACAGGUCACCGACAAGUGCAAUCCAGCCUCGGAUCCUUGGAGGACAAUGCCUUCCCUGCACCAUGGGGCUGUAGUAAUUGGAGUGUUUCUCAUUGUUACGGGUGGGGCCACUGCUUUCCUGAAGUCCAGCCACGGCAAGCUGCAGGCGUUCAGUCUGUGUUGUGUUGUGCUUGGUGCUCUGCUUUUGAUCCUUGGACUUUUUUGGGCUAUGAAUGGGAAAAGCAAUGCUGGCUCUUACGGCAGCGAAUACAGCCACGUCCUCUUUAACCCCCCGCCUGGUCAUUUUCCCGAAUCCCAGUCGGUUUUGUUCCAAAGAACCCUGGAGAGGCAAAGAUGCGCGGUAUAUGGGGAAGAUUUUGACUACCCGCCUGUGGAGUCCAGCUAUUGCAGCCCUCCACAGAGGCCACCUCACUGGGACCUGGAACCCCCACCCCCAUAUGAAGUAGCAAUCAAAAUCACGAGGAGCUCCACGCAUCUGCGCCGUAGCUAUUCGGACACGAUGUUGCCCACGGAACCCCUUUUCUGCCGCUCUCGAGAGAUCAGUUUUGAAGUCUGACAGCUCCUCCUGACCUCCAUUCUGUUUCCAGAGAACAGACAAACGUGAUGACUUACCUCCAACGUGUCUGUGCAGAUCAGCCUAAGACUGUUACACCACCCCUGUACCACCACUUCAGUCAGUAUCCACAGAUGAGCCCUGGAAUGUAGCAAACUCUCUGCACUUCUGUCUGUCUCUGGAGAUCAACCUUGGAGUGUGACAACCUCCUCUGGAUUCCUAUCUCUGCCUUAGAGAGUGGCAGCACCCCCAGGGAUCUUGUCCUUCUCUCCUCGAUCCCAGGAGCGUAGACCAGAUCGCUGGUGCUCUGUCACCCCUGAACUCUGAACCCAAAACCACUCAACAGCUUCCAAUCAAAGUUUGUGAGUGCGGGAAGUGGGAGUGUAACAUGGCAGGUAUAAAAUGGGUGGGAUGGGUGAGGUAUGUUUGAAAUGUCCGUGACAGCUGUUAAUAGUAUGAUUCAUAGUUACUUAAUGUGUGUAAACAUAGCAAAUGAUAAUUGCAAAGGGCCAAAUUAUUUAUUUUGGGGGUGGGGGGUUUUGAAAAGAAGUGUUCCUUAUAUGGUUAUAUAUUGUUUAAGCACAGUGUCUUGUGAGGUUGUGUUUGUGACUGAUGAAUAACUGGGUGCUCCAGCUCAUCAACUGAUAAUUUAUAAAAACUUGUAUAAUGCAUUUCAUGAAUAUAUUAGUAUAUGUAGCAUGGGACAAAGUAGCUAUGGUAACUUAUUUAACUUAUUGCAGAUUGCAGAGUAAGGAUAAGCAACUUUGUGGAGUGCUCAGUCCUACAGAUUAAAUUAGUCUCUCAGAACAGAUAAAUUGCAGAGUGCCUUCAUCACAUAUAUAUAGCAUUAUUUAUCACACAUAUAGCAUAAUUACUGACAAAUACAUGUAAACAAGGUAACAGUUUCCAGAACAAUAGGAUUUGGGUAGUUUGAACCUUUUAAUUUGCACUUUUAAUCAGUCAUUUUACCAAGUUAACACAGAUUCGAUCGCACCAUCAAAAGUAUUACUGUAUGAAAUGGCAUGCAUGAAGUUUCCAGAGAAAAGGACAAAUUAGCAUCGCAUUUAUCACAAGCUGCCUUUAAUGUAACACUCUCCAUCAGCUCACAUAGCUCAAAACUGACAUGCUUUUCCAGCUCACUUGAUGUGACAGUAUGAAAUUUGACCCAUAAAAUGGUUUCCAGAAUCCAACAGCUGUAGAAACUUACUGAACAGCAUUCAUUGAGAAUAAAAAUUAGUGUCAUUGA